rnacentral:rRNA from 1 species
UACGGGGGGGGUAAGCGUUGUUCGGAAUUACUGGGCGUAAAGGGCUCGUAGGCGGCCAACUAAGUCAGACGUGAAAUCCCUCAGCUUAACUGGGGAACUGCGUCUGAUACUGGAUGGCUUGGAUUCGGGAGAGGAAUGCGGAAUUCCAGGUGUAGCGGUGAAAUGCGUAGAUAUCUGGAGGAACACCGGUGGCGAAGGCGGCAUCCUGGACCGUGACUGACGCUGAGGAGCGAAAGCCAGGGGAGCAAACGGG